rnacentral:rRNA from 1 species
UACGGGGGGAGCAAGCGUUGUUCGGAUUUACUGGGCGUAAAGGGCGCGUAGGCGGUCGUGACAAGUCACUUGUGAAAUCCCCGGGCUUAACCUGGGAACUGCAUUUGUGACUGCACGGCUAGAGUGUGUCAGAGGGGGGUAGAAUUCCACGUGUAGCAGUGAAAUGCGUAGAUAUGCGGAGGAACACCGAUGGCGAAGGCAAUCCCCUGGACCUGUACUGACGCUCAUGCACGAAAGCGUGGGGAGCAAACAGG